rnacentral:rRNA from 1 species
AACAGGAUUAGAUACCCUGGUAGUCCACGCCGUAAACGAUGAGUGCUAGGUGUUAGGGGGUUUCCGCCCCUUAGUGCUGCAGUUAACGCAUUAAGCACUCCGCCUGGGGAGUACGGCCGCAAGGCUGAAACUCAAAAGAAUUGACGGGGGCCCGCACAAGCGGUGGAGCAUGUGGUUUAAUUCGAAGCAACGCGAAGAACCUUACCAGGUCUUGACAUCUUUGGACCACCCUAGAGAUAGGGUCUUCCCUUCGGGGACCGAAUGACAGGUGGUGCAUGGUUGUCGUCAGCUCGUGUCGUGAGAUGUUGGGUUAAGUCCCGCAACGAGCGCAACCCUUGAUCUUAGUUGCCAGCAUUCAGUUGGGCACUCUAAGGUGACUGCCGGUGACAAACCGGAGGAAGGUGGGGAUGACGUCAAAUCAUCAUGCCCCUUAUGACCUGGGCUACACACGUGCUACAAUGGAUGGUACAAAGGGCAGCGAAGCCGCGAGGUGAAGCUAAUCCCAUAAAACCAUUCUCAGUUCGGAUUGCAGGCUGCAACUCGCCUGUAUGAAGCCGGAAUCGCUAGUAAUCGUGGAUCAGCAUGCCACGGUGAAUACGUUCCCGGGCCUUGUACACACCGCCCGUCACACCACGAGAGUUAGCAACACCCGAAGUCGGUGGGGUAACCAUUUAUGGAGCCAGCCGCCGAAGGUGGGGCCAAUGAUUGGGGUGAAGUCGUAACAAGGUAACC